rnacentral:ribozyme from 9 species
CCAAAGACAAUCAACCUCUGUCCUGCCACUGACUUCCUGGGCAAGGGUGGAACUGCAAGGGCAGGCACCCUGGCCUUGGAGAGGAAGUGGUUGGUAUGGCAAGCCCCAGCCAGCG